GCGGGCAUGGCGGAACUGGCAGACGCGCUGGAUUUAGGUUCCAGUGGGGUAACCCAUAGGAGUUCGAUUCUCCUUGCCCGCACCA
rnacentral:tRNA from 1 species